rnacentral:rRNA from 1 species
UACGUAGGGUGCGAGCGUUGUCCGGAAUUACUGGGCGUAAAGAGCUCGUAGGCGGUUUGUCGCGUCGUCCGUGAAAACUUGGGGCUCAACCCCAAGCUUGCGGGCGAUACGGGCAGACUUGAGUACUGCAGGGAGACUGGAAUUCCUGGUGUAGCGGUGAAAUGCGCAGAUAUCAGGAGGAACACCGGUGGCGAAGGCGGGUCUCUGGGCAGUAACUGACGCUGAGGAGCGAAAGCGUGGGUAGCAAACAGG